rnacentral:rRNA from 1 species
CGAACGAUGAACCUCGCUUGCGGGGGGAUUAGUGGCGAACGGGUGAGAACACGUGAGUAACCUGCCCUUAACUCUGGGAUAAGCCUUGGAAACGGGGUCUAAUACUGGAUAUUGACUUUAUCUCGCAUGGGGUUUGGUUGAAAGAUUUAUUGGUUUUGGAUGGACUCCCGGCCUAUCAGCUUGUUGGUGAGGUAAUGGCUCACCAAGGCGACGACGGGUAGCCGGCCUGAGAGGGUGACCGGCCACACUGGGACUGAGACACGGCCCAGACUCCUACGGGAGGCAGCAGUGGGGAAUAUUGCACAAUGGGCGAAAGCCUGAUGCAGCGACGCCGCGAGGGAUGACGGCCUUCGGGUUGUAAACCUCUUUCAGUAGGGAACAAGGCCAGCAUUUUUGUUGGUUGAGGGUACUUGCAGAAGAAGCGCCGGCUAACUACGUGCCAGCAGCCGCGGUAAUACGUAGGGCGCAAGCGUUAUCCGGAAUUAUUGGGCGUAAAGAGCUCGUAGGCGGUUUGUCGCGUCUGCCGUGAAAGUCCGGGGCUCAACUCCGGAUCUGCGGUGGGUACGGGCAGACUAGAGUGAUGUAGGGGAGACUGGAAUUCCUGGUGUAGCGGUGAAAUGCGCAGAUAUCAGGAGGAACACCGAUGGCGAAGGCAGGUCUCUGGGCAUUAACUGACGCUGAGGAGCGAAAGCAUGGGGAGCGAACAGGAUUAGAUACCCUGGUAGUCCAUGCCGUAAACGUUGGGCACUAGGUGUGGGGGACAUUCCACGUUUUCGCGCCGUAGCUAACGCAUUAAGUGCCCCGCCUGGGGAGUACGGCCGCAAGGCUAAAACUCAAAGGAAUUGACGGGGGCCCGCACAAGCGGCGGAGCAUGCGGAUUAAUUCGAUGCAACGCGAAGAACCUUACCAAGGCUUGACAUGAACUGGAAAUACCUGGAAACAGGUGCCCCGCUUGCGGUCGGUUUACAGGUGGUGCAUGGUUGUCGUCAGCUCGUGUCGUGAGAUGUUGGGUUAAGUCCCGCAACGAGCGCAACCCUCGUUCUAUGUUGCCAGCACGUUAUGGUGGGGACUCAUAGGAGACUGCCGGGGUCAACUCGGAGGAAGGUGAGGACGACGUCAAAUCAUCAUGCCCCUUAUGUCUUGGGCUUCACGCAUGCUACAAUGGCCGGUACAAUGGGUUGCGAUACUGUGAGGUGGAGCUAAUCCCAAAAAGCCGGUCUCAGUUCGGAUUGGGGUCUGCAACUCGACCCCAUGAAGUCGGAGUCGCUAGUAAUCGCAGAUCAGCAACGCUGCGGUGAAUACGUUCCCGGGCCUUGUACACACCGCCCGUCAAGUCACGAAAGUUGGUAACACCCGAAGCCGGUGGCCUAACCCCCUU